rnacentral:rRNA from 1 species
CACGUAGGGCGCAAGCGUUGUCCGGAAUUAUUGGGCGUAAAGAGCUCGUAGGCGGUCUGUUGCGUCCGCUGUGAAAACCCGGGGCUUAACCCCUGGCUUGCAGUGGAUACGGACAGACUAGAGGUAGGUAGGGGAGAAUGGAAUUCCUGGUGUAGCGGUGAAAUGCGCAGAUAUCAGGAGGAACACCGGUGGCGAAGGCGGGACUCUGGGCCGAUACUGACGCUGAGGAGCGAAAGCGUGGGGAGCGAACAGG